rnacentral:snRNA from 14 species
CUUCUAAGGAUACCAUAAAACCCAGAAGGCAUAGUAGAAGGACACAGAGAGGAUGAGCACGGCCCCUGCACAAGGAUGACACGCAAAUUUGAGAAAUGUUCCAUUAUUUC